GUGUCAGCAGCCGCGGUAAGACGUAGGGCGCGAGCGUUGUCCGGAUUUAUUGGGCGUAAAGAGCUCGUAGGCGGCUCGUUGCGUCAACCGUGAAAACCCGGGGCUUAACUUCGGGCUUGCGGUUGAUACGGGCGGGCUGGAGUUCGGUAGGGGAGACUGGAAUUCCUGGUGUAGCGGUGAAAUGCGCAGAUAUCAGGAGGAACACCGGUGGCGAAGGCGGGUCUCUGGGCCGAUACUGACGCUGAGGAGCGAAAGCGUGGGGAGCGAACAGGAUUAGAUACCCCCGUAGUCC
rnacentral:rRNA from 1 species